CAGGUGAGACCUGGAGACUUGGGACCGCCCCUGGUGGGCGGAGCUGGUCUUCGCUCCUUUCAUAAGCGCAGGUGUGGGCAAUUGGGUAUUCCUUUGCAAACCUGAAGCUGCGAGUGCUUGGUCCGAGUUGGGCAAGUUGGUGUUUCUUAACUAUGAAAGUCUGAUACGCGUCCUCCCCUAAACUUCUGUUAGAACGGUGGGAAACAUUGCUCCCGUGAGAACGGUAUAGUGGACUUCAUCGCCACUGACCCACAUUUAUUAGGGUGUGACACGAACUUGUGGACAGAGUACCGAGCUGCUGCUUUGCCAGGUGGAUUUCUGGCUGCGGGCAAAGGACCCGACACAUCAGUGUGUUUUAAUUUGUUUUAAACUGGUGUAAGCCGACAGACUGACUGCUGCGGCUGUCGAUGGUUUUGGUUUUUUUGUUUUACUUUUUCUGUAUCAGUAGGCACCACAGAUAUUGAUUCGCAGGCGGUGAAGGCGCUGCAGGGAAAACAAAUCCUUUUUUUGUCUCCCCGCUCUUGCAUGCACAGCGGGGGGCCCGAGUGAAGACGUCAUGUGUGAGUUGCCGUCCAUUUUUAACCUGUGUGCUAUGUUGAUUUGUUUUUAAACUGUUCUCCGCAGCGCUUGUCCUGCCUCACGGGCAAUCGUACAGUCUUAUCGUUUUUUAAUAAGGUAACGUUUUUAAUUGUUUUUAGGUGCUGCUGUUACACUGUUUCUUUUAUUUUGUAUUAAAAAUUAAACUCUUUUAAACUGACUGUGCGCCUACGGCUCUGUCCUAUUUUAAAUAGGCACCUACCACGGGUCACAUAAAGAAGGGAGCAUAUCAUAACUUCAGGGUGAACCCAAGGCCAAAACAACAAACAAAAAGUAACCUAUCUCAGGAAUAAACACAACUUACCUACUCAAAAGAACUAAACCAAACGACAAUCACUUUCCUCCCUGCCUAACAAAAACAGGAGAAAACUGAUCAACCAAAAAGGCGGUCCACCCCUACAUGCUCUUACAUUAACAUAAUAUUUUGACACAGUGAACGGUCUGCCGGUUGGGUUGGGCCGAGGAUGAAUGAAUUGGCAGUCCCUGGCGGUCUCUUCUUAUCCGCUGCCUCCCAGUCCUCAGCCAAUCGGUGUGAGCCAUCCACCCUGGAUGCACCAAUCCCGGAGGAGCACCUGGACACUCAAAUUCACACACAAUUACGGUCACAGUCGUAACACCCCCUUUCCCAAGAAUUAACAUUACCCCCAAAAUGUUUAAUUCAAGGAGAAAGUGCUCUAGACAGGGUAUCAGCCAACACGUUAUCUUUCCCUUUCUUGUAACUGAUCUCCAAGUUAAAAUCUUGCAAUAACAAGGACCAGCGCAUAAGUCUUUGAUUGGAGUUGCGCAUUUGGGAAAGAAACACCAGUGGGUUGUGAUCGGUAAACACCUGCACAGGCAGCACACUUGACCCGACAUAGACCUCAAAAUGCUGUAACGCAAGGAGUAAGGCAAGAGCCUCUUUUUCAAUGGUGCUAUAAUGGGUCUGGUGUCUGUUAAACUUUUUUGAAAAGUAGCAGACGGGAUGAUCUACGCCGUGACCAUCUUCCUGUAACAGAACAGCGCCUGCGCCACACGAGCUGGCAUCAACUUCUAGUUUAAAAGGGCGCUCAAAAUUCGGCGCAGCUAGCACUGGUGCACUGCACAACAAUGCUUUGGCAGAUUCGAAUGCCACCUGACACGCUGGAGACCAAAUAAAAGGCUUUAAGGGGCUAACAAGAUCAGUUAGGGGACUAACCACAUCAGAAAAAUUUCUGCAAAACCCUCGAUAAAAACCGGCCAUUCCUAAAAAACGACGCAGAGCUUUUUGUCUGCGGGACAGGAAAAUCAACAAUGGCCUGUAGGGGAGACCGGGGAUAGUUGUAACAUUUUUGACAUUUCUGUCUGUAAAUUGGAGCUCUUUUAAGGUAGUGGAUUC